rnacentral:rRNA from 1 species
AUUGAACGCUGGCGGCAGGCUUAACACAUGCAAGUCGAGCGAGUGGCGGACGGGUGAGUAAUGUAUGGGAAAGUGCCUGAUGGAGGGGGAUAACUACUGGAAAAGGUGGCUAAUACCGCAUACUAUUCGAUGUGCCCAGAUGGGAUUAGCUAGUGGGUGGGGUAAUGGCUCACCAAGGCGACGAUCCGUAGCUGGUCUGAGAUGACGACCGGCCACACUGGAACUGAGACACGGCCCAGACUCCUACGGGAGGCAGCAGUGGGGAAUAUUGCACAAUGGGCGAAAGCCUGAUACAGCCAUGCCGCGUGUGUGAAGAAGGCCUUCGGGUUGUAAAGCACUUUCGGCGGGGAAGCGUUACUCGCAGAAGAAGCACCGGCUAACUCCGUGCCAGCAGCCGCGGUAAUAC